rnacentral:lncRNA from 1 species
UGUUCUUGGUGGCCAUUUUGUUGGCUAUGAUGUCAUGGAGCUGGUGUUGGUGGUGGUUGUGAUGGUGUUGUGGCCGGGUUAGUGUUUGUGGCCAAGUACUGUGGUGAAUCAGGAUUGGGUGUUUGUGUCUAUGACCAACAUUUGGUCCCCUGUGACUGAUUAUUAAUCCAUGACCUUAAAAUUCGAUUAUUUUGUGAUUAUAAAAGUAAUUCGUGACCAUUAAAUUUGAAAAUAUGUGACUUGUGACCUAUAAUUUUUUGAA